CCAGAGUACAGUAUCAGCUGAGCUGACCUUACUCUGAGGACUAACUCUUUUGCUGGAAGCGGUUCCUGAUUUACAGCUCUUGGUUUCUCCCAGACAUGUUGGUGGGAGAGAUUUUGCUUUUUAAGGGGUUGUUAGAUGGAGUAAAUUUUCUUUUUUUUUUUUUUUUUACUAAAAAGAGGUCACAAAAUUUCAGCAGUUCUCUGAUUUUUAUAUUUUAUUCCUCUUCCUAUCCAAUCCCUGCCUUUUGAGUCCAGGUGGUAAGUACAUUUUCUUUAACGUUUUUCCUGCUUUUCUUCCCAAAUGUGUCUUUUUCUUUGGGCUACUGUACCCUGCUUCCAGUGCUGUCCCCGGCAUAGGUCCAUCUCUGCAGAAGCCAUUUCAGGAGUACCUGGAGGCUCAACGGCAGAAGCUUCACCACAAAAGCGAAAUGGGCACACCACAGGGAGAAAACUGGUUGUCCUGGAUGUUUGAAAAGUUGGUUGUUGUCAUGGUGUGUUACUUCAUCCUAUCUAUCAUUAACUCCAUGGCACAAAGUUAUGCCAAACGAAUCCAGCAGCGGUUGAACUCAGAGGAGAAAACUAAAUAAGUAGAGAAAGUUUUAAACUGCAGAAAUUGGAGUGGAUGGGUUCUGCCUUAAAUUGGGAGGACUCCAAGCCGGGAAGGAAAAUUCCCUUUUCCAACCUGUAUCAAUUUUUACAACUUUUUUCCUGAAAGCAGUUUAGUCCAUACUUUGCACUGACAUACUUUUUCCUUCUGUGCUAAGGUAAGGUAUCCACCCUCGAUCCAAUCCACCUUGUGGUUUCUUAGGGUGGAAUGUGAUGUUCAGCAGCAAACUUGGAACAGACUGGCCUUCUGUUUGUUACUUUCAAAAGGCCCACAUGAUACAAUUAGAGAAUUCCCACCGCACAAAAAAAGUUCCUAAGUAUGUUAAAUAUGUCAAGCUUUUUAGGCUUGUCACAAAUGAUUGCUUUGUUUUCCUAAGUCAUCAAA
rnacentral:sRNA from 1 species